GCCCGGUAGUCCAGUGGCUAGCACGUCGGCUUCACAGUGCAGAGGUACCGGGUUCGAUUCCAGCUCCGGCCUCCCUGUGUGGAGUUUGCAUGUUCUCCCCGGGCCUACGUGGGUUUUCUCCGGGUGCUCCGGUUUCCUCCCACAUUCCAAAAAUAUGCAUGGCAGUCUGAUUGAACACUCUAAAUUGUCCCUAGGUGUGAGUACGAAUUGUUGUUCGUUUCUGUGUGCCCUGCGAUUGGCUGGCAACCGAUUCAGGGUGUCCCCCGCCUACUGCCCGAAGACAGCUGGGAUAGGCUCCAGCACCCCCCGCGACCCUAGUGAGGAUCAAGCGGCUCGGAAGAUGAAUGAAUGAAUGUUACCACCUGCUGCUUCACUAAGUAUAAAGACAAAAAAAAUCCAAAUUAAUUAAUCCAGUUAAUUAAUUGCAAGUAAACACAUUGACGCUUUAAUUGAAAGUGAAAAUUAAGGGCGAGAGUCAGCGUAGAAGAGGAUCGAGUUGGAGGCGACAGGAAGUUCAUUGUGUCUUCAUAUUUUUGAUGUUGUUGUUACUUUCAGCAUCUGCGUCAGCACUUUCCACCCACUCGCCUUGAUUUUUGCAGUUGGCAGCAUCAUUAGCGAGCGUCUCGGACAGCGCCUGACCUUUCCACCCCUUCUGCGGUUGUGCUCGUUCUGAGCUGGCUAUCAAGUUUGGUCACGUCCUCGGCCCGAUUGCUUUAAGUUCAUUAGCGGAAGGUGAUGUGACAGCACAUUAAAUGCCAGGAAGGUACGACGGAAACACACUCAACACAAGUCAUCCGUUUUGUCGCAUCAGCAGAUUGUUUGUACUAUAAUUACAGUCCAUUAAAAUGCUGUUUAUCGUUAUUUCGCUACAGGAUAUGUGGCUCAAGAAACGCCAUCUGUCAGAUUAACAAGGCAACCGCUUCUCCAGCUUUUUCGACAUGCAUUGCGUAAACAUUUUAGCAAUCGUUUGUCAACUGUUGAGGCCCCUGAUUAUCAUUUUUUUUCUUAUUGUAACCAUAGAAACAUGUUUCUUCAGUUUGCAUAUUUACAUAAGCCUCAGGCUUCAAUUGCUUUGUGGGAUAAUGUGCCCACUGUUAUCAUUAAGCUAGACAGGUAAUAAUCAGGCAAACAAAUCCUCAAUUUUGUAUGAAUAUUCAUUGGUUGGAUCACAGCUCAAGGGGCAUACCAAGUCGCGGAGUUCAAUCAGGGGUGCAAGUAAGGAUUUCAUGUGAAUCUCAUCAGGGCCUUCAACACAAGCAAGACAUUUAGUCAAACCCUGACCUCGUGGAGUUUUAUGGGCAGUCGUCAACUUUGGCUGCGUUGAGCUGCUCACAUCCAAUGCCAAAUACACGAGAUUUUUGCGAUGUCAAAUGUUGUAAACGUCUUUCCUGUGUGGAUAAAAUCUCAAGGACGGAUUUCUCUUUGUGUGAGCCCUGGAAAUAUCAAAUAUCAACCAUAAAAUGGCCGCUUUGAACAAAAUCGUAGAAUAUGCGUAUAUGUAUUAAUUUGUUCCGUUUUUUUUUUUUGACAUGGCGCUCGGUUGACGUUAUAAAAACUGACGGGAGUAAGAUUUCCCCGUCCCAGAUCUAAAGGUUACUGCUGCUUUUCCCAUUGCUCGACUCAUCGAUGCCGAGAGAAAGAGCCAAAUCGAUGAAUACAUUGUCAGCAUUUAACACUGGGCACGAUCCAAACAUGAUCCAUUGAUCUGUGAGUGUGUCGCUCUUUGUGUGGAACCGUGCCCACUGGCCAGUUGGCUGGUUGCGACAAAUGCCGAUAAGCAAGCCUCUCAAAGAUUAGAUUUUUUUUUUUUUUUUUUUUGGUAUCAUGAUAUGCUCUGCUCUUCAGGGGGAAAAGAAAUCUUUACCAAAGCAACAAUUUAGAUUGAAUCUUAAAGACUAGUGACCCUAUUUUCAGGUCCAGAACAUGGGUGGAGUUUUAUUCUUUUGGUAUUUUCGCAGGUAGAAAGGGGCGUUUACGCAGUUGUGGGAGUGAACACGCACUUGUUUACCAGCCAAUGGCAUUCCCUUUCAAUUCAGCACAGGAGCGGCGCGCACAGUCUUUGACAUUGCCGAAGUAAAAAUAAAGCUAGCUCGAGUCCAUAUAUUAAGAAACAUAAACACUUCUUACACUUUUUAUACAUAACCUCAGUGAAUUGAACGUCGUUCCACUUUAAAAUAAGCCGUCCUUGAAUCAAAUCACACCCCAGGUAUUGAGAUGUAAAAUUGUCUUUUAAAGCGGACGUGCAAACACGGAGUGUUUAUGUAAGACAUUUGGGGUUUUUUUGUCCGUGCUGUUUGCCAGAAUAUUACUUUUAACGGCAUAUAUGAUAAUAAAAAAUAAAUAAAUGCCUACUUCAAAGAUGAUUUGAGUCGAGAACGUUCCACAUGAAGUUUCGGGGCCAAGACAGAUAAGCAUGGCGCAAAAUUGUGCCGAUGAACGCCACCGGCAGGAGAUAUGACGUUCAGUGGACACUGAAGCCAGUCCAGGCAUAAAUACAGGUGCUUUAAUUAGAAACUAAAUAAUGAAACAGAAUGGCGUGCGCCUGGAGCGUAAAAAAAUAGAAGUGGCGAGCGAGAGAAAAUGGUUCUCUUGGCUUUGUGCCUCGAAGCGUGGUAGGUUUUUAAUGAACGAAUGUAAAGUAAUCACGAACGGUGGCGCAUUCAUGGUGCGGCGCGAUGGGUGACCUUUUGCAUUUGAACAAAACUAAAAAUUGCAUUGCUUUAACCCAUUUCUUUCUACGAACCUGUAAGACACCCCGCCCCCCCCCCCCACCCCCUGUCAUCUGACAACCCUCGCAGUGCUUCACCAACCGUCUCAAACAUUCUCUCUCUCCCCUGCUGCUGGCUCAAUGUGAUUUUGUUUACCCACCCCCCAUCCCCCUCCCCGCCCCCCGCCACCCCCAAGUGUGCCAUUUCCAAUUUUAAUAGAAGUGCCUCUCUGUUCACCUGUGUUGAGAAUUAAAAUGGACUUGUUGAUGGUUUGGAGGUGCCCGCGCGUUCAUGGUUGAGUAGUCUCUCAUUUCGGCGGCUCACCAGCUUGAAGGUGAAGAGCGCGGUGAUGAUGUGAGCGCCUCCUAAUGACGUGUACGAGUUGUGCUCUUGCUGUUUACGGUCAAAACCAAGUUUCAUGUGAUAAUACUGCUUUGGUGCCAUUUUAUUGCAUCUUGAUGCCAAGCAACUAGGUUGAACUGAGGUGAGGAAAUUCAUUUAAUCAGGCCAUAGCCUUGUCUAAAAGAAAAAUCGCUUUGUUGCAAUGAUGGGGCAUUAAUAGGCAAUCGCAAACUUUUUUGGUUGCCGUAAAAACAUUUUAUACAGAUUUUGGCACUCUGGAAUGUCAUUUUGGAUUUUCAAGCAUCACGUCCUGUCAUAUUCUUUAAUUUUGAAAGAGGUGUUAUGUGGCCGAUGCAAAUUAGAUUUUAAGCCAGGAUACCCUCUGUUGAUCUUGUUACAAUUAUUGCUUAAUUUCUGAACUGGACACUCCCUGUGCCAUCUGAAUUAGUGAUAGAAGGAGAGGUAGGGGGUGAUCCUGCAAAUAUCUAAUAUAUUUCAUUUAUGAGCCAAUUCACAACCUGCGCGUGAGCCAAACAAGGUGAAAUUUGAAGAGGUAAAAAAAAAUGAAAA